ACGAACGUUGGCGGCGUGCUUAAUACAUGCAAGUCACCUGAAGCAGUGGUAGCAAUAUCGCUGUGGAGGUGGCGCACGGGUGAGUAACACGUAGGUAAUCUGCCUUCAGGUCUGGCAUAACUCCGGGAAACCGGGGCUAAUAGCAGAUGAUGCAGCGGCUCGACAUCGAGACAGUUGUUAAAGCUAUGGCGCCUGAAGAUGAGCCUGCGUCUGAUUAGCUAGUUGGCGGGGUAACGGCCCACCAAGGCAACGAUCAGUAGCUGGUCUGAGAGGAUGAUCAGCCACACUGGAACUGAGACACGGUCCAGACUCCUACGGGAGGCAGCAGUAAGGAAUAUUGCUCAAUGGGAGAAAUCCUGAGGCAGCAACGCCGCGUGAGGGACGAAGGGCUUUUGCUUGUAAACCUCUGUAGUGAGAGAAAAAAAUCCCAAUCUUUGGGACAUGAUGGUAUCUCAAAAGUAAGCCCCGGCUAACUACGUG
rnacentral:rRNA from 1 species